GUUGGAAGCCUUCGUGGGAGA
rnacentral:miRNA from 1 species